CUUAUCUGGUAAAGCGAAUGAUUAGAGGCAUUAGGGUCGAAACGACCUUAACCUAUUCUCAAACUUUAAAUGGGUAAGAACCUUAUCUUUCUUGAUAUGAAGAUAUAGGUUAUGAUAUAUUGUGCCCAGUGGGCCACUUUUGGUAAGCAGAACUGGCGCUGUGGGAUGAACCAAACGUAAUGUUAAGGCGCCAAAAUUAAUAACUCAUACUGAUACCAUGAAAGGCGUUGCUUGCUUAAAACAGCAGGACGGUGGACAUGGAAGUCGUAAUCCGCUAAGGAGUGUGUAACAACUCACCUGCCGAAGCAACUAGCCCUUAAAAUGGAUGGCGCUCAAGUUAUAUGCCUAUACAUUACCGCUAAAGUAAAUAAUUUAUUUUAAAUAUUUUAUAUAUAAUAUAAAUUUGAAAACCUUUAUUGAAGUAGGAGGGUACAAUGGUGUGCGUAGAAGUGUUUGGCGUAAGCCUGCCAUGGACCCGCCAUUGGUACAGAUCUUGGUGGUAGUAGCAAAUAAUCGAAUGAGACCUUGGAGGACUGAAGUGGAGAAGGUUUUCGUGUGAACAGUGGUUGAUCACGAGUUAGUCGGUCCUAAGUUCAAGGCGAAAGCCGAAAAAAUGAGCAAGUUUAAAUUGUAUAUCAUUGUAUAUAUCUUGUAAAUUUUUUGAACGAAAGGGAAUACGGUUCCAAUUCCGUAACCUGUUGAGUAUACGUUUUUAAUUAAAAAUGGGCAUAAUGCUCAUCCUGGUAACAGAAACCACCAUAAAGAAGCCGUCGAGAGAUAUCUAAAGAGUUUUCUUUUCUGUUUUAUAGUCGUAUUACCAUGGAAGUCUUUCGAAGAGAGAUAUGGUAAAUGGACUAGAAGAGCAUGGCAUUUACUGCUGUGUAGAUAUUUUCUCCUCGGACCUUGAAAAUUUAUGGUAGGGUUACGUAAACUUCUCAACAGGCCGUACCGAUAUCCGCAGCUGGUCUCCAAGGUGAAGAGUCUCUAGUCGAUAGAAUAAUGUAGGUAAGGGAAGUCGGCAAAUUACAUCCGUAACUUCGGGAUAAGGAUUGGCUCUGAAGAUUGAGAUAGUCGGGCUUGAUUGGGAAGCAAUAUUAUGGUUUAUGUACUCGUUCUGGGUAAAUUAGAAUGAAGUCAAUGUGUUAAAAACAUUGAAUUAAUUCGUUCCCCGGAUAGUAGUUUACGUAACCAAUUGCGGAACUUUCUUGCUAAUAAUAUGUUGGAAAUUUUUAUUAAAGAAAAUUUUUACAUAUUUCUAACGGCUAUCAAUUAACAAUCAAUUCAGAACUGGCACGGACUUGGGGAAUCCGACUGUCUAAUUAAAACAAAGCAUUGUGAUGGCCCUAACGGGUGAUGACACAAUGUGAUUUCUGCCCAGUGCUCCGAAUGUCAAAGUGAAGAAAUUCAAGUAAGCGCGGGUAAACGGCGGGAGUAACUAUGACUCUCUUAAGGUAGCCAAAUGCCUCGUCAUCUAAUUAGUGACGCGCAUGAAUGGAUUA
rnacentral:rRNA from 1 species